rfam:Rattus norvegicus chromosome 14, whole genome shotgun sequence.
GGGGAUUUAGCUCAAUGGUAGAGCGCUUGCCUAGGAAGCGCAAGGCCCUGGGUUCGGUCCCCAGCUCCA